rnacentral:lncRNA from 1 species
AGAAGCUUGUGAAAACCCCAACCAGGCCACACCGCAGGACGACGUCGGAAUCUCUGUGAACAGGACCUAAGCCUCCGUGUUUUUCUGAAGAUCCCCAGAGGGGAACAAGCAGUGGGAACGCUCAGGCGGUAACGGGGAUGGGCCGCGACCACGCGUCACUGUGAAGCCAGCUUACAGUCCUUUGUUCUCCGGGGUGAAAGCCCCAUUUCUUAAGAAGUCUUCACAGAGUUCCCGUCGUGGCUCAGUGGAAAGGAAUCUGACUAGCCAGGGAUCAAACCUGCGUCCUCACGGAUACCAGUCAGAUUCGUAACCCGCUGAGCUACAACGGGGACUCCCAAGCUGUGCUCUCUUCAGUGACCAGUGACUCCACAGCAGAUACACCCGGUAUCCUCGGUCACCAGCAGCGCCUGGGACUGCACGCGACGCAGGCUUGCGUGGCACAAUUACGGAGACUGGAUGAGAUGUUCUCUCCAUUCUGCAGGUGAACAGGCUGACCUUGAGAGUGGUCACGUAAGUGGCUCGAGGUCACA